AAAGAAAGUAGCAAAGUUAUUUGAUAAUAUUGUAUGUCCAUAUAAAAAUGUUAAAACAUUAUUCUUUUGUUAUGAUUAACUCUUUUCCUGCCCUCCAGUGACAGUAUGUCUGCAAAGGGGUCAACCGUGUUGAGCCUAUCAGAAGAUGCUCUAAAGAACCAUCUACUGUCACAGAAGAAGCUGCUCUCUCUUGAAGCGCAAUGCAUCUCGAACAUAUUGGAAAACUGCAUCAGUCGAGUUGAGAUUGUAGCCUCUCUUCCUGCUGUCCUCCGGUUAAACAGAGUGUCUGGUGUUGUGGACAAGCAGUUGAGUCGGGCACUUCAAGAGCAUCAACUAUUAGCCUGAAAGACUGGAGACGCUUAGAAGGUCUCAAGCAGGAUUCAGACGGGGAACAAGAGGGAGAAGUUGUGAAAGCAAAGGCUCAGCUUGAGCAGGACAUCAAGAACUCUGUCAGGGGUCUGUUCAGGCUUGCCCGAGCCCAUCCUGAUGCCAGGUGUGGUUUGAGGGCAGAUCUAGGUAAAGAAGUAGCCAUAGGAGAUAGUGAGUACAAGCUAAUUACAGGGCUUGAGAAGUUUCUCAGCCAUGCGGUAGAAAAGUUGCUGACCAGUCUGGAUGAGGAGCUACACGUAAAGCUGGUUCUUCAAAAUCAGGUGUCUUCGUCCCCUGCCAACCUCGCGGAGCUCAUAGUUUCACAGCAAGAAGUAGCUACAUCCUUAAAACAAAUAGAUGCACAGAUAUCUGAGAAAAAUGAUGAGAUCAAACAUUUUCAAGAUUCUCUAAAAGGAGACAACAGUCAAAAAGCAGAUACGUCGCUUCUUGCGGAACAAGCAGUGCCAGUCACAUAUGAAGACAUCAAAGCACAGCAGUAAACAACAGGAGCUUGAUCGACUGAACAGUCAGCUCAACAAAUUGUUCCUCGAAAGCAGACAGGCAGAGAGAGUAAUCCAAGUGGUACGUUUUAGUGUCGAACAUUUCACAGUAAAUGUACAAACAUAUUUCAUUUUCAUUUAAACCAAACUGUUAUUGCUCUUUUUUUCCUUGGCAGGAAAAUGAGAAGGUGGAGACAGCAAUUGAAAACUUGCUCCAAACUUUUGACGACGACAUAGAAAAAAACCAGGUACAAACUCAGACAAAGUUGCCACUACAAAGAGCCAAAAGUAACUGGAAAAAAAUAAUUAAGUGUGUAUACUCUGGACAACAGUUCAGCCUUUUAGACUAUAUUCAGGGUGUUUAACAUGGCAGUCUGUUCUUGACCUCAGAUAUAGUAGUUUAACAAAAUAAUCUGAACACAGGGUCCCUUUACUAGCUUUUUCCAGAGCCUUCACCCACAUCUCAUAGUGUCUAUCAGCUGAGAGUCUGUUCAGUCUGUACCCUGAUGGAGAACGUCUGUUUUUUCUAAAUAUAUUCAGGGUAUUGUGUAUAUCCUGCCCUUAAAUAUAAUAAUAUAAAGCACGGACAAUCUUUACAUUAGAAAAGCUGAAACCAGAAAAUAUUCGCCAUUUUUGAUUGAUUAAACAACUGUAAAGUUCAAAAUAGUGGCACAUGUAUUUAUUAUUUUUCAAGUCUUAACACAUUGUUUUAUUUACACCUGCUCAUUUCACGCAUUGACCUCUGGCGUGUCUUCGUUCUGAAAUCCAGGACAGGUGCACUCACACUUGUAUAACAUUUAACAACAAUGUGUAUCAGACGGCCUAUUUAUCAGCAGGACGUUAGCAUAGGGUCAAUCUAUGUUUAGCAACACAUCAGAUUUAACUUCUAUCUUUUUUCUUCCCUAUCCACCGACAUCUUUCUCUCUCCUCCAUCCUUUUCGCCUCUCAACACCACCACUGUCACCACCACCUGUCCCAGGCCGACCUGGAGUUGGAAGGAAUGGGUUAUGAAAGGGAGGAGGAGGAACUGAAGACGCUGGAGAAACCCUUUUCUGUCCUCGAGGUGAAGUAUAACAUGAUCCUGGAGAAGCGUCGGCUGGCAGAAGAGAAGAGAAGGGAGGAGAUGAGGGAGCUGCAGUUGAAGACCAAAGCUGCUAUUUUUGCCCAAGCCUGGUGGAGAGGCUACAGUACUCGCAAGGCCUUAAAGAACAAGGGGAAAAGCAAGAAGGCCAAAAAAGGCAAAGGCAAGAAGACCAAAUAAGCGACUGACUAGUUUAGUUACUCUGGUGCAGACACACUCUACCUGAAUGAACGUCUUUGGAUGAAAAUUAAAAAAGAGCUGGUUGAGCAAAUACUAUUAUACUCCAUAAUCAGAGUGUGUUUGUCAUUUAUGUGUUAAUAAAGUGUUUUAUGCUUUAAACUAGUAUUUACUUCUUUUUUUUUUAAAUAUAAAAGGACUGCAUGCAGACAAUGUCAAAC
rnacentral:lncRNA from 1 species